AAAGGAGAAUAACGAAUCCCGAUUCUUUCAUCAAACAAAAGGUACCCCCAAGAAAAGAGGGGAGUGAAAAACUGAAGACAUGUAUCUCGUCUACCACUCAACGACACAAACAAGAGACCAGACCGACGAAUUUUACGAACACCCAGAAAGGAGCAUAUCAAGAAAACAUCAAGCAACACGCACAAGGGGCAUCAGAAUUCAAGAGCCGAUCCCCGAUCGUCGUCUAGAUCUGGAGAAAAACCCGAACCCAGUUGGUCAAAUCAGAAGGAAAACCCAAGUCCGUAUCUUGUUCACUAUUUGAGGAAGCACCGGAUCUUGCGCAGUAAGUAUCGCUAGAUUUUAGCUUUCAGUUUCUCAAAAAUCAGCACGAAUCUUGAAAAGAGAAGGGAUUUUGCCUGAGAUUUUGAUUCCUGUGGUUUCUUA